AUUGAGUUGUGUUUUUAACCCCAUCUCUUUGUUAAAUUAUAUAAACUUCAAAUUAUAACAUAUAGCUUGGAAGAUGAAUUACCAGGUUGAGUCAUUCGACUUUUGAGUUCUCUUUCCCCCGUUUCCAUGGCUUUUUGACUGGAAAAUCUGAAUUGUUUCUAAAAAGUUUUGAGAUUUGUAUUUUAACGCUAAUUUAUUUUCAUGAGUGCGAUUUAUUGAUCUAAAUAUUGUGGAUAAUGAUGACAUCGAAGAAGAAUAGAAGAAUCAACGGCGCCGGUGUCUGGAAGUUCGGAUUUGACGUCAUCAACUCCGUCUGCGUUGGCAUCGGUGUAUUGGCAGUUGAUUUCGCUGCAAGAAAGAAAGUGAUAUUGUGUACCAACUCAAGGUAAAGUUUGGUUAAUAGAAGCAUCGUCAAGUGUUUGGGGCUGACUUAAACACAACAUGUGGGGCAGCCAGUGAACAAAAAUCAUCUGAUCUGCAGGGAUAUAAAAUUGUGCUUAAUUCAAAAAGUUUUGAAGAUGUACUGCUCUGCUUCGUGCGAAUGAAUCCAUCUCAAAGUGCUACAUUAGGACUGUUUGAAGAGCACGCCUAAUGUACAAAAGGUCCUGUUUAUUGGUUAUACGAUGACGGGACAAACAUCAAAUUCCUUUGAAAUGUAAGUUUUGUGCAUUUUUAUCUUUAAUUGAAACAUAUCCAGUGUUCCCACAGGAAAUUUCCCAACUCCUUAGAAUUCAAGGAUACAGUGGUACGGGCCUAUAGAAUAGAUCCUGUUCAAGUAAGCAGUGAAAUUGGUGGCAAAAACAUAUGGCUUUGGGUUUUUGUCCCCAUGAAAGGCUUCCCUGUACUCACAAAGGGACAUAUGCUGAUGAUUGUAUUGUUGAGAGAGUUGCACAGAUAAUUUUAUUAGUCUAUAACACAAGUGCGAUACUGUCGCAACAUGCGAUCAAGAUUUGACGCGUAGAAUAAGCAAGGUCCCUGGUGUACCAAUCAUGUACAUCACUCAACACAAGUACUCUAUUGAAAGGCUGCCUGAAGCAACGAAGGGUGGAGGUAGUGGUGGAAUGCAAACUGGAACAAAAAGACAAUAUUGGAAUUCAACCUAAGAAGAAUUCUCAACUCAAGAAAAUCACUGGUUUACAGUUUACUCCAUGGAAUCAUCACAAGUGCUUAUAACUUCAGCUGAUUCUCGUAUCAGAAUAUUUGACGGAUCACAAAUGAUCUAUAAGUUGAGCAUCAGGUUUCCGAAAUACAAGCAGACACAUUGCAGCUUCGUUUAGUUCAGACAGAAAGUAUGUCAUAAGUGCAAGUGAAGACUCUCAUGUCUACAUAUGGAAGAGACAACCUAAGAGCUCCAGGGGUAAAAAUAAAACUUCAAUCUCAGUUUAAGCUCAGGGGUGCUUUCAGUGUAAAGAUGUUUUUUAGUUCAAGGUUCAGUUUGGGGAAAUAAUGUCUAAAGAGCGAAGGUUCGGCUCGGGAAACCAUAAUAUACCAGACGUAACCUGCACAAAUUUAACAAAAAUCAGCCAUAACCUUACAUGUCCCUGCCCGCCUUGAUUCACAUACAGUGGUAACCACAACCACACAUAGCCCUGAAGGCUCUGUACUUCGUUGUCAACACCUUUUACCACCACAAUAAGUGACAAUGAAUGUAAUACAAUGCAAAUUCAUAACCCCCAGAGGCGAAAGUAGUAGAUGUGCAAAUAUCAUAGCCCGUAGGUAUCCCCGAAGAGGAAAGUAGUAAAUAUGCAAUGCAGUAAAACCACAAGUAAUAUGUAUGUAAAUACGCAUCCUUUGACUCACAACCAGACACUAAACACUUAACCAACACCACUGAAUGUGAUUUUUU